rnacentral:rRNA from 1 species
UACAGAGGUCUCAAGCGUUGUUCGGAUUCAUUGGGCGUAAAGGGUGCGUAGGCGGCGCGGUAAGUCGGGUGUGAAAUCUCGGAGCUUAACUCCGAAACUGCAUUCGAUACUGCCGUGCUUGAGGACUGGAGAGGAGACUGGAAUUUACGGUGUAGCGGUGAAAUGCGUAGAUAUCGUAAGGAAGACCAGUGGCGAAGGCGGGUCUCUGGACAGUUCCUGACGCUGAUGCACGAAGGCUAGGGGAGCAAACGGG